rnacentral:misc_RNA from 1 species
UCUCCGUUGGUGAACCAGCGGAGGGAUCAUUACCGAGUUUACAAACUCCCAAACCCUUUGUGAACCUUACCAUAUUGUUGCUUCGGCGGGACCGCCCCGGCGCCUUCGGGCCCGGAACUAGGCGCCCGCCGGAGGCCCCAAACUCUUAUGUCUUUAGUGGUUUUCUCCUCUGAGUGACACAUAAACAAAUAAAUAAAAACUUUCAACAACGGAUCUCUUGGUUCUG